UUCCUACUGGAGGCAGCAGUGGGGAAUAUUGGACAAUGGGGGCAACCCUGAUCCAGCCAUGCCGCGUGUGUGAAGAAGGCCUUUUGGUUGUAAAGCACUUUAAGCAGGGAGGAGAGGCUAAUGGUUAAUACCCAUUAGAUUAGACGUUACCUGCAGAAUAAGCACCGGCUAACUCUGUGCCAGCAGCCGCGGUAAUACAGAGGGUGCGAGCGUUAAUCGGAAUUACUGGGCGUAAAGCGAGUGUAGGUGGUCAUUAAGUCACAUGUGAAAUCCCCGGGCUUAACCUGGGAACUGCAUGUGAUACUGGUGGUGCUAGAAUAUGUGAGAGGGAAGUAGAAUUCCAGGUGUAGCGGUGAAAUGCGUAGAGAUCUGGAGGAAUACCGAUGGCGAAGGCAGCUUCCUGGCAUAAUA
rnacentral:rRNA from 1 species